CGCGAACCAUCGCAACCCGAUGAGAAGGUCGAGGUGUCCGUCAUCCUCCCGGUAUUCAACGGCGAGGCCACACUUCCCGACCAGCUUCGCUCCCUCGCCAACCAGACUUACAAGGGUCGCUGGGAGCUGAUCGUCGCAGACAACGGAUCGCGAGACGGCUCCAGAGAAGCGCUGGAAGGGUGGAUGGGAGCCGUACCCGCGCUGCAAAUCGUGGACGCAUCGGAUCGCCCGGGCGUAGGGCACGCGAUCAACAUCGGGGCUCGGGCUAGCAGGGGCGAACUUCUGGCCCUGUGCGAACAGGACGACGUGGUCUCGAACGACUGGCUGACGGAACUCAC
rnacentral:misc_RNA from 1 species